rnacentral:rRNA from 1 species
GACGAACGCUGGCGGCGUGCUUAACACAUGCAAGUCGAACGGAAAGGCCCUGCUUUUGUGGGGUGCUCGAGUGGCGAACGGGUGAGUAACACGUGAGUAACCUGCCCUUGACUUUGGGAUAACUUCAGGAAACUGGGGCUAAUACCGGAUAGGAGCUCCUGCUGCAUGGUGGGGGUUGGAAAGUUUCGGCGGUUGGGGAUGGACUCGCGGCUUAUGAGCUUGUUGGUGGGGUAGUGGCUUACCAAGGCUUUGACGGGUAGCCGGCCUGUGAGGGUGACCGGCCACAUUGGGACUGAGAUGCGGCCCAGACUCCUACGGGAGGCAGCAGUGGGGAAUAUUGCACAAUGGGCGGAAGCCUGAUGCAGCAACGCCGCGUGCGGGAUGACGGCCUUCGGGUUGUAGACCGCUUUCGCCUGUGACGAAGCGUGAGUGACGGUAAUGGGUAAAGAAGCACCGGCUAACUACGUG